GCCGAUGUAGCUCAGUGGUAGAGCGCGUCCUUGGUAAGGACGAGGUCACCGGUUCAAGCCCGGUCAUCGGCUCCA
rnacentral:tRNA from 1 species